rnacentral:misc_RNA from 1 species
GGAUUUUCAACUGAAGAAAGAAACUUCCAAAGAAAACCUUUAUGGAGUGAUCUUCACAAGAAGCGUUUGAUAUGAUUCGUGCAUAUAGAGAGUCCUCUGACUCAGAAACAAAUAAUAAUAAUAAUCCUAAAGAGAUGAUGAGAGAUGAUGAGACAAGGGCUAGGCAACCCAGUUGUUAUUAACCACCUGAUAUGACCUUCACCAAGUUCAGAGCAGUUGGUUUCCCAGUCAACCAGUUAUCAAAUGCUGCUGCAGAUCACACGGUUUUAAUGGAUAUGUUUCUCAUUUCUGACAGUGUCUCCAUGCUGAUUGGGUAUAACAUGGACAUGGACCUUGUUGAGUUGGAUUGGCAGAAUCUUUAGCUGUAGUGGCAGAUGUGUAAUUUCUUGGCUAGCAAUAGAGGCCUGAAAAUGGAUUUGCAAGAUUGCAGCGUUGAUCAUCUGAUUUACAGUUAUUGUUGAUGUAUGAUUAUUUGAUCUUGUGAUUAUGACCACAAGAAUAUACUUUGAUGCAGUUAUAUGAGCACCAGAAUAUGCUAUAGUGCAGUUAUCAAAAAGAAAGAAAGGGAUAUCCUUGGGAGAGAGUUAAUGAGCUGAUAAAUUUAGAAAUAGCUCCCAGACCCCAGUUCAAGCUCUUGCAGCUUAAAGUGUAAAAUGGAACUUGGUUGGGUCGCAUGUCGUAUAGCUGUGUUGUUUAAUAUUUUAUUAAUUAUUACAGAAACUUGUUUUUUCUUAGUUUCAGGGAUUUGGGGAUCUUUCUGGCCCUAAACUUCCCUAAGAGAUGACA